UACGUAGGGAGCAAGCGUUGUCCGGAUUUAUUGGGCGUAAAGAGCUCGUAGGCGGUUUAGUAAGUCGGGUGUGAAACCUCCAGGCUCAACCUGGAGACGCCACUCGAUACUGCUGUGGCUAGAGUCCAGUAGGGGAGUGUGGAAUUCCCGGUGUAGCGGUGAAAUGCGCAGAUAUCGGGAGGAACACCAGCGGCGAAGGCGGCACUCUGGGCUGGAACUGACGCUGAGGAGCGAAAGCGAUGGGGAGCGAACGAGGA
rnacentral:rRNA from 1 species